rnacentral:rRNA from 1 species
AUUGAACGCUGGCGGCAUGCUUUACACAUGCAAGUCGAACGGUAACAGGCCGCAAGGUGCUGACGAGUGGCGAACGGGUGAGUAAUGCAUCGGAACGUGCCCAGUCGUGGGGGAUAACUACUCGAAAGAGUAGCUAAUACCGCAUACGAUCUAUGGAUGAAAGCGGGGGACCGUAAGGCCUCGCGCGAUUGGAGCGGCCGAUGUCAGAUUAGGUAGUUGGUGGGGUAAAGGCUCACCAAGCCAACGAUCUGUAGCUGGUCUGAGAGGACAACCAGCCACACUGGGACUGAGACACGGCCCAGACUCCUACGGGGGGCAGCAGUGGGGAAUUUUGGACAAUGGGCGCAAGCCUGAUCCAGCAAUGCCGCGUGCAGGAAGAAGGCCUUCGGGUUGUAAACUGCUUUUGUACGGAACGAAACGGCUCUGGUUAAUACCCGGGGCUAAUGACGGUACCGGAAGAAUAAGCACCGGCUAACUACGUG